GUUCUUUAAAUAAAGCUCCGUUGAACCCCUACUUGAAAGGGAGAAUAGCGGAGUUGUUGUACAGCCUAAGGUCUUUUCCUACAGAGAAAGCGGCUAACUACCUGCAAAUUCUGACCUGGACCCUUCUAUUGCAAUUAUAAGCUUCUU